AACUACAGUACAUUGGUUUCCAUAAUGGCUAUCACCAUGCCUAAGAAGUUUGUCUGUCUGCUGGUUUUUAAUUUGACUCUGACUGAAAUUAUUUUAAGUGGAAAUGUGUUAAUUUGGCCAACAGAUGGUAGCCAUUGGUUAAAUAUUAAGAUCAUUCUAGAAGAGUUAACUCAAAGAAAUCACAAUGUGACUGUACUGGCUUCAUCAGCAACUUUAUUCAUCAACUCCAAUCCUGAUUCUCCUGUGAAUUUUGAGGUGAUACCUGUUUCCUUCACAAAGAGUAAUAUAGAUUCCUUAAUUGAACAUAUGGUUAUGUUGUGGACAGAUCAUAGACCAACUCCUCUCACACUCUGGACUUUCUACAAAGAACUAGGAAAACUCCUAGAUACUUUUUUUCAAAUUAACAUACAAAUCUGUGAUGGAGUAUUAAAUAACCCCAAGUUAAUGUCAAGACUUCAGAAAGGUAGUUUUGAUGUGCUAGUAGCUGACCCAGUAACAAUCUGUGGGGACCUGGUUGCUCUGAAAUUAGGAAUUCCAUUUAUGUACACAUUGAGGUUCUCUCCAGCCUCAACGGUAGAGAGACACUGUGGGAAAAUCCCCGCACCUGCCUCCUAUGUACCCGCAGCCUUGUCAGAGCUCACUGACCAGAUGACCUUUGGUGAAAGGGUUAAAAAUGCCAUAUCCUAUCCUCUGCAAGACUAUAUAUUUCAGUCCUACUGGGGAGAAUGGAAUGUGUACUACAGCAAAGUUCUAGGUAAGUCUCUACAAUGUCCACUUAUUAAUGACUCUUAA